UACGGAGGGUGCGAGCGUUGUCCGGAAUUAUUGGGCGUAAAGAGCUCGUAGGCGGUUUGUCGCGUCUGCUGUGAAAACCCGAGGCUCAACCUCGGGCCUGCAGUGGGUACGGGCAGACUAGAGUGCGGUAGGGGAGAUUGGAAUUCCUGGUGUAGCGGUGGAAUGCGCAGAUAUCAGGAGGAACACCAAUGGCGAAGGCAGAUCUCUGGGCCGUAACUGACGCUGAGGCACGAAAGCGUGGGGAGCAAACAGG
rnacentral:rRNA from 1 species